CAAAAACAUUUUUCUGGAUGGACUAGUUGCCAAGUUGGCAUUAUGGGAAUUAGGAAAGCUUAAAUAGCUGUACCUUUCUAUGAAUCAUUUGCCUUUAGCUUUUUUCAGAGAAACAUUGAAUUCUGGGUCACUUUGUGACUGAGUACUUAGGAAAAGUUGCAUGAUACGGUAAAGAAACAGAAAACUGCUCCUCUAACACAUUAAAAAACAGCCCAUUUUCACAUCAGUUUAUCUGGGAGUUUGGUCAUGCGCAAUCCUCGGAUUUAUAUAUUUAGUCUGGAAAUGCUCCCUAACUAGAAAUCAAUACUUCACAUCUUUUUAUUCUGAACUCACCAAAUACUUUUUUCAUGUUUCUCCAUCCAUUUUCUAAAUGCAGUUUUCUGUACUUCUGAUGUGCCAUUUACAUAAAGCCUAAGCAGGGGUCCUGCGUAUGCUCUGUCCCAAAGCUCAGUUGGAACCAACUCUGGAGCAUGCAAGGUAAGCAAUCAAGGCAUGGGAGCAUCCUGGCCUCUUACCUCCUGCCUGAAAGGAAAUCACCAACAUUCUGGCCAGUCUGCUACUGUGAGAGGUAAGAGGAGUCUGCAGGUAAUCAAAAUCUAAUCUAAAUCAAGGCUUUAUCAACCUGAGUUAGCAACUGCAGUUCUACAACUUGUACAAAUUCAGACAGUGAAGCAAAGAUGCUCCAUUUCUGACUUGAGGCAGCACACAGAGGUUGAGCUGCUGGGUUUAGGAGAGCCAGGGUUUGGGGUCUUUAAGGCAGGCUGCAGGGAGAUCUCCUAUAAGAAUCUGUAACCAGAUCCAGGUCAGAAUCAAGGGAGCAGCAGCAGCAUCACAUAUCCCAUGUAUGGUCUCAUCAUUGCCACUGUGGCAAGAGGACAUCCAUGUGGGCUACACUACUGCAGAACUUUCUGUCCUUUCCAUCUACUGAUGGUGAUUGUUUCAUCUCAUCUAAUGGAUAAUAGAGUUAAACAUAAUUUAAUAUAGUUAAAUGAGAAUAAAUGAAGUGAGAAAAAAAGGACCUCCAUGAGACACAAUGCUACGAGUAUUCUGAGAAACAGGUAUCAGUCCCAAAGGCCUCCACUCCCUCACUUUAUAUCAUCAGUGUGUCCAUAAGGGCCCAAUUCCUCUUCUGCUUUCUUCUCUUAAUGUCUCUAGGAUCACCAAUCCUGAAGCUACUGCCAAGGUCCCACUCACUCACUUUCAUUUCAGUACCAGAAUAACAGCAUCCACAAGUUGAAAAAAAAUCUGAAGGGCCACCAAUUCACCCAAAGGUUUCUGGCAUUUCUGCUGCCUGCAUAAAAGAACAGGACUAAUUGAGGCUGGUGUUUAGAGUUUGGUCGGUUCCAGUAUUUCCUGGCUGGUUCAGAAAAUGAUUCUGCACUGGGCCUCAUGCUCUCUGCCUGACCUCUAUCACAGGCUCUGAGUCUUGAUCAACUGUGAAUGGAAAGCAACAGGAGGGACAGGAUUGUGAUUGUGAGGCUAAUCAAUCACGUGGUCACCUAAUCCCAUGUCAAAAGAGGAGCUGGACCCUAUAAAAGGAAAGAACUGAAGGAAAGAACUGAGACAGAGUUUUGCCAUGUUGCCCAGGCUAGUCUCAAACUCCUGGGCUCAAGUGAUGUGUCCUCCUCGGCCUCCCAAAUUGCUGGGACUACAGAUGUGAGCCACCGUGCCCAGCUGGCUGGCUCGUCCCAAGUAGAGUUCUUAAAAAUUCAUCUGAAAGCCAGCGUUUCAAAAUUAAAAUGGAAUUAUAAACGCAUAAGACAAAUGUAAUAUGGAUUCACUUCGAACUCUUCACUGCCUCAUAAGGUGACAGCAGACCCACAGAAUGGAAGCAUGGUAGCUUAAGAUCACAGCACAAGCUAACUUUGGGAAGGUAUCCAAGAAUCAGAAAACUCUACUGCUUAAGAGAAGUUAAAAUUUAAUUUUAUAUUCAAUUUUUCUUUUGUUCUGAUUAGAAUCCCUUCCAAGGGUUCUCAGCCUACAUGUAAA